UAAAACUGGGUGCAGGAGGCCGGGGGAGUACGAGGGUGGCAAGCGUUAAUCGGAAUUACGGGUGGUAAAGCGGGCGCAGGCGUUUGUGCAAGACAGAUGUGAAAUCCCCGGGCUUAACCUGGGAACUGCAUUUGUGACUGCACGGCUAGAGUGCGGCAGAGGGGGAUGGAAUUCCGCGUGUAGCAGUGAAAUGCGUAGAGAUGUGGAGGAACACCAAUGGCGAAGGCAGCCCCCUGGGUCGAUACUGACGCUCAUGCACGAAAGCGUGGGUAGCAAACAGGAUUCGAUACCCGAGUAGUC
rnacentral:rRNA from 1 species